UACGUAGGGCGCAAGCGUUAUCCGGAAUUAUUGGGCGUAAAGAGCUCGUAGGCGGUCUGUCGCGUCUGUUGUGAAAACUCGAGGCUCAACCUCGGGCUUGCAGUGGAUACGGGCAGACUAGAGUGCGGUAGGGGAGACUGGAAUUCCUGGUGUAGCGGUGGAAUGCGCAGAUAUCAGGAGGAACACCGAUGGCGAAGGCAGGUCUCUGGGCCGCAACUGACGCUGAGGAGCGAAAGCAUGGGGAGCGAACAGG
rnacentral:rRNA from 1 species